AUGUGUGCAGGUGAUCUGCGACCACCUUGGACUAGGAGUCAAGACGGGGCUGCCCUACAUCUGGCACAGCAAGGCCAACAACCCGUUCGUGAACCUGAAGGAGUAAAAGGGCAUCUUCUGGCAGGAGGACAUCAUCCCCUUCUUCUAGGUCGCGAAGCUGACAAGGAAUGCGACACCGUGCAGAAGUGCUACAUCUCGCUCUCGCAGCAGGUCAAGGAGAAGCUCGGCAAGAUCGACCCCUACUUCAUCAAGCUUGCCGACGCCAUGGUCAUCUGGAUCGAGGCCCGGGACAUGCUCAACUCCAAGGACUCCAAGGAGGCCGACGCCAACGGCAAGCUCAAGGGGAAGUAG
rnacentral:rRNA from 1 species